AUGAAGUAGCGAAACAAAUAAAUAGCGAAGUUGUUUUGCCAUUCAUAAAUUUUAUCUCAAAAAGAAGCAUGUGGUUAUGCAAACAAGUGGACGUGUAAAUAAUGAAUAAAAAACCGAAACGUGAAAAUACGAAAAAAAAACUAGGUCAUGACGUGACGUCAUUUAUGUGGAUGAUACAGAAUAAAUCCUGCAAACAACACACGGAAAUGAAAAUCAUCCUAAGUACAUAAGGAAUGCCUGUCCACUGUGCCGAACCGUUAAAGCCGAUUUACGGUAACGACGCCUAGUGCGUGGUGAUGGUAGCGAAUUGGAGAAAUACGUAUGGAAUGAGUCAGCUCUGGCGGUCCGUAUGUGUAACCAAGAAGAACCAUUUAAACAAUUGGAAGAGGGCAACUCAUGGAAUAGUUUAAGUAACAUUUUAGAAGUGGCUUCAGAGGAGAUGUUGUUUGACAUAAAAUGUCGAAGGAAAAACGACGGACGGUGAUUGAUCACAACAAAGUUGUGCUCUGGUGAGCUCAUCAAUGGUAAAAUUUCAGAACAUGGAAACCCAAGAUUGUACCACUUUGUUUAUCCGACACCAAAUAUUGAGCGAGACAUAUCAUAGUAUGUAAACAGAUCUGAAUUACUUCAUUUUCACAGAUUUGUCUAAAUUCUUGCAUUUAUUACUGUAACAGAUUUAGCCGUUAAGCACGGAUUAACUCGAACCGUAGAUUUAAGUGAAAAGAUUUUCAUCGCAUACUUCGCACAUAAAGCAAUGGUAAUGAGCUAUAUUUAUGUAUUUCAGAACUGCGUUAAAUUAAUAAAUAGCAGAAUAAUGAUAAAUUACGAAUGCAUAAAAUAUUACGUAAGACGUUUAUCAAAGAAAACGAAGCCAAACAACACAGUAACAUAAUAAUGAAUUACCAGGCAAAAUUGUAAAUGGUGUUCAUCAUUUCUGUUCUCAAAGUUUAUAAUCUUCGUUGCUAAAUAAGAUCAAUAAAUGAUAUUUUGUGUGCAGCUGUGCGUGUCCAAAAACGACUCUUGCUCGUCUGAAUUUUCAAUGUUUGCGCACCAUAAACCAGUUUAAGCUCCCCAGUGGUGUUUUUGUCACUGACCGUUCCAAGGCGGUGCCCCACUGUGUUCCUUUGUUUGUUCGUUUUGUCCUCGUGUGUUGGCUUUGUGUGUGUGUGUGUGUGUGUGUGUGUGUGUGUGUGUGUGUGUUUGUGGUGUGCACGUCUGCGUGCUGUGGGUUUCGUUUUGGGGAGGCUGUGUUUUUGGUACGUGGCAUUCCCUGUUUGAUAUUUGUCUUUGUUUUUUUAUGGGAAUUAGAAAAUCAUACCUAGAAAUACAGUUUAUUCUGAGCAAAACUAUUAGUUAUACUACCUAUACUACUUUCUUUACAAUGUCUCGUCUGCCUUUUUGGGAUUUCUUAGAUUUAAAGAUUUAAUACAUAAAAAUACAUAAAAAUGAUGUGAUGAGGCCGGUUAUUUUCCUACAAAUAAUGUCAGAACCUUAAACUAAUUCUAACAUAGGAUUUUACAGAUGAUAUAUAAUCUCUAAUUAUUCAUGCAAUACAGGAAAAAAGUUCUCAAAAGAAAUUAAAGUCAAACUCGGAAAAUUAAUUGAUAUUUAAGGGCAGCUUCCGUUAGAUUUAAAUUAAAACAAAGUAUUGCAAAUUUAUCCAAAACAAUAUCAAUUAAACGAAAUAUUAGCAUCAUAUGCAUGCAUUACAUAAUAAAGCAGUUCAAGAAGCAUUUUCUAAAUAAUUGCUGUAACUGUUUAAGAAUUUCGAGAAAAUAUUGAUGUUAUCAAGUACCCCCACCCAUCUGCAGUAAGAUUGUAACCUUCCAGUACUUGCUAGAAAUUUUAAAAUACUUUUCCCCUGAUAUUUGAAAGAAACAUUUAUGCUAGAGUAUACCAGUAGUAGAACAAUACAGCAUAUGGUCCACAGUAACGGCCACAAUACGUACUAGAGACGUAAAUACUGCAAUAUCUCAAAAAAUGUGCCAUGAAAUUCUUGUGUUUCAUUUCCUUACAUACUACUUAUUCCGCACUAAAAAGUUUAUCUUGGAAUUAGUUCAACCCCAAAAGUUAAAAUGAACAGCCUAAAUGCACUCAAUGGUGAAUUUCAGGUUAAAGUUUUUAUUUUAUGUUCUCAAACAAUUUAUUAUAUAGUAAAAGACUUCAGUAAUACAAUGAACAAAUCAUCAUUCCGAUUAAGAGGUUUUAUAAGAAACUUUCUCAUGGUUCUUAAUUUCAAGCUUCCAAGAUACUGUUGAUUGAAAUUCAUUAGGAUGGGAUGCAGAUUUCAUAAUGUUAUUUUAGUAAGAAAGUUUCGAUAUGUUUAAGGAGAUUCUCCUCUUCCAUAUCAAAAACCCAAAGAAUCUUGCAUAUAUUCAUUAGAACAGUGAAAUUUUGGCAUAAUUUUCUUAUCUUCAUGAUAUCCUACUUGCAAAAUUACGUGUUGUCACCACUCUUACACAGUGGUGCAUGUCUAUCCUUUUUAUUGUCUUUUUAUUGAUUGAUUCAUUUAUUUAUGAAGAUAAAGGAUGAAUUAAUCAUGUUCGUCUGAAUAAAAUUAAUGAGAACAUAAACAUUGUUUAUAACGAUACAUGUACAAAAAAAAAGCGUUUAUUAAAGUAUAUGUACGUUUUAGGUUUCAGGUUUUAAAUUAGACAAACUAUACCAAUCCUUUGUUCUGAAAUGCUAAAGAGAAUUUAUUUUGUGCAUGUUGAAUGUAUUGAACAAGUAUAAGAUAUAAAAUGCUGCAGCAUGAUUAACUACUCCAGCUAUUUAAUUAUAUAACAUUUCAACGUUUUUAUUUAUAUGAAAAGAGUUAUAUGUGGUAUAGUAAUAACAAUAAUGAUAAUAACUUUAAUAAUAAUUACGAAUUAACACUACAAAUAUCAUUAUAAGAAUAAAAAGAAAUCAAUGUUAUUAGAACGACGUCAAAGGAUACAUAAUUGUAAUUAUUGAGACUUGUUAGAUUUUAGUUCAUGUAAGCAUAUAUAUAAAUAGCGGACAUGAUUAGCCCAAAUAUUGGAACUUUUUGUAAUAUAAUGUAUUUUACUUUUAUGUAGUUUCAUAUCAGAGAUGUUUUUUAUAUUCAUAAAAGAUAUAGAAUAUAGUACACAUGAUUUUUUAUUCUAAUUGUUAAAAUAUGUUUCAGAAGGUUUUAAAUGAAUUUUUAAGUUAAAUGGUAUGUUUUUUAUUCGAGUCUGUAUAUUGUCUCUUGUAGUUCUAGUUAGAACGGUAAUUUACAAUUGUUUUGUGUUGUAUGCAAAUUUUUAUGUUUGUAAAUGAAUGAGACAUAAAUAAACUAUGAAUUCUAAA